UACGAAGGGGGCUAGCGUUGCUCGGAAUGACUGGGCGUAAAGGGCGCGUAGGCGGAUUGUUUAGUCAGRSGUGAAAUUCCGGGGCUCAACCUGGGGGCUGCSUUUGAUACKGGUGAUCUWGAGURUGGAAGAGGGUCGUGGAAUUCCCAGUGUAGAGGUGAAAUUCGUAGAUAUUGGGAAGAACACCGGUGGCGAAGGCGGCGCCCUGGUCCUUUACUGACGCUGAGGCKCGAAAGCGUGGGGAGCAAACAGGAUUA
rnacentral:rRNA from 1 species